GAACGACAGUGACCACUGAUGGAGGAGGAGACAAGCGCGGACAUUUUGAAACAUAUCUACGUCCUUGUUGGAAAGAUGGAGAAGUUUGUGACAGUAAAAAAGAAAACUGGCGGCAGAGGAAGAAGGGCAGAGAGAGAAAGGAAAUUGAACCAGGAACAACUACAUUGAGAACUGAGCCACAUACCCCAAACUGUGGCUUUCUGCCGUUUGGGGAGUAAAGGCGCGGAGAGGCAGCUGUGGGACGAAUACAGCGUGGGUGUGGGUUGCAGUGGAGCGAGGCCUUUCAUGGAGA